GGAGUCUGGGCCGUGUCUCAGUCCCAAUGUGGCCGUUCACCCUCUCAGGCCGGCUACGCAUCAUCGCCUUGGUAGGCCGUUACCCCACCAACAAGCUAAUGCGCCAUAAGCCCAUCCACCAGUGUUUUAAACCUUUAAUAAUCAGAUCAUGCGGUCCGAUUACCUAUCCGGUAUUAAUCCCCGUUUCCAGGGGCUAUCCCAGUCUUCGUGGGUAGGUUGCUUAUGUAUUACUCACCCGUUCGCCUCUAAUCCUUCCUAGCAAGCUAGGCUAUCAUCGAUCGACUUGCAUGUAUUAGGCACGCCGCCAGCGUUCAUC
rnacentral:rRNA from 1 species